rnacentral:rRNA from 1 species
AUUGAACGCUGGCGGCAUGCCUUACACAUGCAAGUCGAACGGCAGCACGGGUGUUUGCACCUGGUGGCGAGUGGCGAACGGGUGAGUAAUACAUCGGAACAUGUCCUGUAGUGGGGGAUAGCCCGGCGAAAGCCGGAUUAAUACCGCAUACGAUCUACGGAUGAAAGCGGGGGACCUUCGGGCCUCGCGCUAUAGGGUUGGCCGAUGGCUGAUUAGCUAGUUGGUGGGGUAAAGGCCUACCAAGGCGACGAUCAGUAGCUGGUCUGAGAGGACGACCAGCCACACUGGGACUGAGACACGGCCCAGACUCCUACGGGAGGCAGCAGUGGGGAAUUUUGGACAAUGGGCGAAAGCCUGAUCCAGCAAUGCCGCGUGUGUGAAGAAGGCCUUCGGGUUGUAAAGCACUUUUGUCCGGAAAGAAAUCCUUGGCCCUAAUACGGUCGGGGGAUGACGGUACCGGAAGAAUAAGCACCGGCUAACUACGUG